rnacentral:tRNA from 1 species
GCCGCGUUGGCGUAGUGGUAGCGCGUCUCACUUGUAUGUCAUUGCAAUGAGAAGGUCAUUCGUUCAAUCCGGGUACGCGGCA